UAGUGGCGACAGUGGUAGAACCCUUCGGAUUACCCCCAGAAGCAAGAAAGUGUCGGAAGCGGGAAGGAGAACGCCAAAAAAGGUCACCUCCUUCGACGGACUCCAAACCCUCCUCUCUUUUCUCUCUUCUUUCUGUCGGAAUUAUGAUUCCCUUCCGUUAGCUCGCGAAUUCUUUUUCCAAAGCUUGCCUCGAUGUGAGUUCGACGAACCCUUCUCCGGACCUUCUUCCGCGGUUUUUCGUUUCGUUUUCUUUGGGAUCGUUCGAGGUUUGUUUUUGCUGCAUUGGUCUUUUCGUUCAAGACUUCCUUGCAGGAUCUCAACGACAAGAACAUCUCAUCGGCCGAUCCUUGAUCGUAUCGAUGAGAUCGGUUGUCCUCCUGUAGAGACGGCGCACCGGCAACGACCUCCUCGGCCGAGAACUUGCCAUGGGCCUUGCGGUACUUGUCGAGCUUAAGCUUGGUGAUGACGACCUUGCAGAGGUUGAUGUUGACUUUGACGGUGGUGCCGUUCACCUUCUCCCGGGUAAUGCGCUCGACGUGGAUGACCCACUUCCGGUGAUACACCUACACGAUCUUGCCGUCUCGGCCCUUGUGGGUCCCCCGCCACCACCUGCACCUCUUCGUCCUUGCGCACCGGGACCGACCGCGCGUUGUACUUGUUACCCCGUCGGCCGAGAGAAGCGCGCUCAUCAGCACGCGCCGACUUCCACCGGGAGCCUGACACACGCGGGUUGUACUUCAUCGUGGCCGGCGGCUGCGGCGAGCGGCGGAGGCCCUUUUUUCGCAUUGUUUGGGAUUAUCUUUUGCGGUUGAGGAUGCGGGUUCUGGUUUUAAGUUUGAUCUUCAUGGGUAUAGUAAUAUGUAUUUCUUCUGGGAGACAAACAUCAGCAACAAUUAUGAUCAUCUUGAGAUAAAUGAUUCUUCUAGAAUCGCAUUACGCGGCAGAAAGUUCUUGCACUCAAGUCAGCUGAUUAGCACGGUUGAUUUUUCCAAUUGCAACCAGAUCUUAUCGAAAGUAAGAAAUUUGGCUGAGAACUCAGUUGCAUUAACAAAUGAAAGCUGAGCAUCUGUGGCCGAUAACAUAUCCUGGCAAAACAGAACGAACACAUACGAUAUUCUUUGGGGUUCUUGCAGCAUGGGCAGCUACACUGGUAGGGCUUGUCUGAUAUUCUAAAUAGCUUUAUUCCUGGAUCGAAGUAUGGAUAUCUGAGAUGAACGCAGAUGUAGUAGCUCAAGUAAUGCACCAAAUGGGUGGUGUUGCUAGGAUUUGAAAGAGUUUCUUCUUGGGUUUUGAGCAUCAUUGUACCACUGAUUGAUCUUUCAUUGAAGCAAUGGGACAGGUACUUGUCUUUCAGUGACCCCAUGAUUAUUACAAUCACGGUACCCAGAUAGUAGGUUAUUGUUUCCAAAGGAAUUCACUGAACAACCAAGCCUCGAAGAUAACUUGGUGGUAUGGAUUUAGAUGGAGUUGCUUUCCUGAGAGCAUCAGCAACCUUUUGUCUCGGAAUCAUGUAGACUUUUCUAGAUGACAUGUAGAAUAAAUAAGCUUGAAUGCUUUCGGCUGCAGAUUGCUAAAUCUGUGGAAGCUGACUAGUAGAUAUUGCAGGUGCUAUGCCUC